rnacentral:rRNA from 1 species
AGUGAACGCUGGCGGCGUGCCUAACACAUGCAAGUCGAACGAUGAUGGAGGAGCUUGCUCUUCCUGAUUAGUGGCGCACGGGUGAGUAAUGCAUAGAUAAUGUGCCCCUUAGUUCGGGAUAGCCACUGGAAACGGUGAUUAAUACCGGAUACUCCUUCUUAUCAUAAGAUAAGUCGGGAAAGUUUUUCGCUAAGGGAUCAGUCUAUGUUCCAUCAGUUAGUUGGUGAGGUAACGGCUCACAAAGACAAUGACGGAUAUCUGGUUUGAGAGGAUGAUCAGAAACACUGGAACUGAGACACGGUCCAGACUCCUACGGGAGGCAGCAGUGAGGAAUAUUGCACAAUGGAGGAAACUCUGAUGCAGCAACGCCGCGUGGAGGAUGACGCAUUUCGGUGUGUAAACUCCUUUUAUUAGGGAAGAUUAUGACGGUACCUAAUGAAUAAGCACCGGCUAACUCCGUGCCAGCCGCCGCCGUAA